UGAAGCCGUUUACUAUUGUGCAGCGAGAACAGCCUAUGAAGUCAACUUUAUCAAUGGGACUCUUUUACUAUUGAAAGGGAUUCAGUGGUGACUGGCCUCAAUUACACUGCAGUGACCUUUAUGACCAAGACAACUGGAACCAGGAGAAAGAAAUGAAAGAACGGGGAGCAUCCAGUCGGUCAACCAUUUUAAGUUGCAACCUGACAGAAACAAGCAAUCUUUUUUUACAGACAUAGAUUACAGUUUGUUUUCUAUAGUUUGAAGGGGUGUAAAUCCCAGAGUUACUAACCAAUCCUGUAUACAGUGUGGCUUGUGCUUUCUUCUUUCUUUGAUUAUUUCUGAAAUUAAGUGUGACUGCAUGUGCAGUAUGUUUAAUUAGUAGUCCAUUUCAAAGAGUUGAACUUUGAUGACAAUUGUAUAAAUCAACAAAAAAAAAAUAAAAGCUCAAUUUUUUUUAAAUAACAUGAUGAAUCAGACUGUUUAAUUAUAAAGUAGUUUGAUGAUUCUACACAGCCCUACUGGUACAUGCUGGUGUGUUACAGCUAUAAUCAUGCUGCUGGACCUGAAGAAAUACUGUUGAACAUAAUUAACCUACAUUAAAUACAAUGUUUAAGAA